UUAUAUAUAAUUUAUUAUUAUUAUUAUUAUUGUUAUUAUUAUUAUUACUUUUUUAGUUAAAUCUGAAUCGUUGAUCAAACGAUCGGAUGGUCCAAAUUUCAAUCAACAAAACAGCCCUAAACAUGACUUCUUCUCAAGGUUGUCUCUCCUCUUUCAUCCCUUAACACCCUAGCAGACUCUACCUAGACAAACCUCAAAUACUCCCUUGCGCAGCCACCUUCCUCACCUCAAAUCCAUUAAAUUUUGUCAGCGUAAAUCCUUCCUAUUUCCCUAUUUUCUUUGACUCUUUAGGGCUCAAAAGUCCCACCCUCUCCACUGUUAUCUUGGAGGAGAGGGUAUCAUAAGGAUAAGGUCCAUUUUUAUCCCUCUAUCUCUUUCAAAUCAACCUGAAAAAGGUAAAUCCUAAUCCUUACGCCAUUUCUUUUCAAAAUAUGUGCAUUGUCCCACCAACAAACUUUAAAAUUGGAAUAUUUUGAAUCCAAUUUGGUGCAUCUUUGAGAAAGUUAUACACUCCAAUGUUCCUAUAAAAGGAGGGCUUCAGCCAUUCUUUUGGGGCAGAAAAAGUGAGACGAGAAAAAAGGGAUCAAAAGAGGUUAGAAAAAGAAAAAAAAAAGAAAUCAGAGUGAAUAAAAGGUGGAAAAAAAAGAAAAGAGAGGAGAAAAUAAAGAAAAAUCUAUUAAGAAAAAAAAUCCUUGUCGAUUUGGUUCUAGAACUGAGCUUCUCGAGUUCAGCGUUAAAUCCUUCUCGUCAAGAUCCUAGUUUACUUCCCCACACAAGGUUUAAGGGAAUACCGUGCACCAAGGAGCAUCAGAGAUGGUUGGAUUAACUUUGGCUAUCUAUUUCAAAGAUUUGGAUAUCAAAUGAGUUAUGACCAUCACCAAGAAUAUUUUUUUCUAUAGCAGAGAAUGGUGGGAGAGUGUUUGCUCCAUGGAUUUUGCACUUUUCUUCCUAGGGAUUAUGGUCUUCCCAAGAAGAAGGGGCCACAUCAAUGUUAACUUAAUGCCUUUGGUCUUCACUAUGUUCACCAGUUUUGAGACUUAUUUUAGUACCCAUGCUACUGGAAGAAUUAUUUUGAGCUCUGUUUACUUGCUUGAGAGGGGUUGAUUUCCUUGGUGGAUGCAACUUGUUGCUUUAGGUUUGGGCCAUGGAACAUUUCUAUCAAAGGUCUCCAAUCGAAGGAAACUCAGAGGACGUCCCCGACAUGAUACAAAGUCAUGAGUAGAGAUUGAGAUUUUGGAAUGCACCCCUAGGACCAAAAGAAUGGCGGGCUUAUCUGACGUACCUCUUAGGAGAUGCCAUGUUGUGGACGCUUCCUUGGAUCAAAAGAAGAGCAUUACUAAGGAGGUACACUAGUUAUUUUAUUGAUUUGAUCGGGUUGGAAGGAAUCCAACUAUACGCUCCACUAAGAGUUCUACGUCAAUUCGGCAUAGAACAAAACGUCCCUUUAUGGUCACACAUAGCUCCAGUGGAAGUUACUUAUGGAUGACAAGUGCCUUGGACUUGAAUUAGGAAAAUGCAGGAAGUGUGGAUGACUAUACUUUCAGCAAAAAUUGGACAAACAACUUGGUGUACCUCAGGGUAUUACGCAUGGAAAGUAGAAGGAGUCCCCAUAACGUGAUGAAGCUGGGGAAAGAUUCCUGGGCUGAUGGACUAUGACAUGGUGUGUUAGGUGGCAAGUGAAAACUACCUCAUAUGUAUCUCACCAUCUCCAUGUAUUGAUAGGUAAUUCUAGGAUUAGUGGAUGACAUAAUUCCUCCCGACAAUGAUGAUGAUGUUAGGGGAGGUAUAAAAGAGGAACCCGAAGACCAAUCCAUGAGGAAUGAAGACGAUCCAGACUACCUAGAUUGGCUGAUAAAUGAGGAAGAUUUCAUGGAUCACCACUUGGAAUUUUUUCUGGGCCUAGGUGAUAAUGACAACGACGGCCCUACAUGGCCUUAGAUACCCUUUCUUUAUUGUAUUCUUAAAUUCCCAAAAGAGCCGCAUGGCCAGCCCCAUUGUAUGCCCUUGUAUCUGUCCAUGUACUUUUUCUUUAAGAUUUCAUUGAUCUAUUUUGAUGUAAACUCUUGAAUACCUUUGUUUAAUGAAAGUCUUGUUAAUUCUCAAAUCCCAAAAGGUUACCUCUGCUCUUUUCAAAGUGAUAUUGUUGCGCCCUUGAAAAUCUUUAGCUACUUCCUUUCUUUAAUUAUUUGUGUAAAUAGCCUCAAUAAGGUAAGGCUAAAAGAGGUUCACUAUAGCUUUUAUCUUGACAUUAGAUUUUCUCUCCAUUAGAAUUCAAAGCUAUUGGUACCACUAUAUUAUAAUUUCCAGUAAGCCGUUUUGUUGUUGUUGUUAAUUCAACCCUAGGGGGAAGCACCUGGAAUCAUAUUACUGUGCGCUACUGGUCUCGUCUUAUUUUAUGUCUGAGUUGUGGAUUUUUUUCUUCUUUUUUUUCAUGAAUGUGCAAUGUGUACGAGAUUUGUUCCUUUGUUUUGCUUUAUUUUCGGGUAACAUGGGCUGACAUAGUUCGAAGCUUCCUCAAGAUUGUUCAUUUCUUUUUGUAAAGAAUUAAUCCUAGAAUUAAAAGUUCGUUUCCUUAUGGAUUUUGGAUUCAUAAGCAUCCUUCGUUCAUCUCACUUUCUAUUUGACCAGAUUGUUUAGUGGUGCAAUAAUCUACAAAUAAGUUGACAAUGGGUGUUGAAAUCCUACUAUCCUAUUAAAACAAAAGUCCGGAAAGUGACCAAGAUUAUGUGUCGACCUUAUGCUUCCGAAAGAUACUUUAAACUUUAGUCUUAUAAUAUAAGUGUUUGAAACUAAGUCUACGCUUUAAAAUUCGUAAUGAUAUUUGCAAAUAAAGUCGGGCUCCCGUUACCAUCCUUUCGCUGGAAUUUGUUUUAAUUAUUUAAACACAUCAGUAGGCGUGUCUUUUCAAUAAUUAGGUGUGAGUGUGCUUUGUUAAAUAAUUAUCCAUGUCUUUUUAUUUUCUUGUCUUUUAAAGGACUAUUAGUUAUAAUUAGUCACAUAGCAAACCUUUGUCUGAAUUUAUCAUGUGCUCUCUAUGCUUUAUAUUGAAGUUUAAUUUCACCAUUUCGACCAGAAUGUGUUUGUAUGUGUUCAUUUCUUGAUACAUGUGCUAAUCUUUAUCCUCUUUAUUUUACAUGUGAACUUGGGAGAUGGAGUUUCAUUUGAAACUAAUUUUGACCCAAGCGUCGGGUCAACUGCUACAAAGAUCGCAGAGCCUCAGAGUCGAAAUUAGUUGUUCAAACUUAGAAACGGAGUUUAGUAUUCCUAGCCGUUUUUCCUUUAAUUUACUCAUAUUAUGUUACGCUUUCUUUUGGAUGAUAACUAACUCUAUUUUGUCAUUACAUUUGCUUCAGGUAGCUUUAUUUG